rnacentral:piRNA from 1 species
UGAGUGAUGGGAUUAAAGGCCUGUGCCACC